ensembl:lncRNA
AUGUAUAAUAGCGCGGUAUGUUUCCUGCAGAGGCAGAUUGUGAAGAAGUACUUUGAGAAGGAAGAGGAACGGCUGGAGUAUUUCGAGAAACGUCAGAUCCAACACGAGAAGGAAAAGAAAGAGAUGGAAGCUGAACAACAGAGGAAGAAGACGGAGCCGGUGAUGCCACUCAAACAGGAAGAGGAACUGGAGGCAGAAGCGCUAAAGGAGUACGAACAGUUUCUGGCUCUGGAGAAGGUCAUUUUGAAGAACAUGGGCCUCCUGACCGAAACAGAGGACAGAUCAGACCUGUAACACAUUAGAAACAUCAUCAGUACACUCUAGAACAACCAAGAAUCUAGAAGUUACCAGAUAAUCUAAUAACAAGAGUUCUGCUCAUUGUGCCAUUAACACUGUUAGUUUAAUUCAGUGUCUAGCUCAAAGCACUCUGAUUAGAAUGAUCUAAAAACAUUGUUAUUCAUCGUAAACUUUUCAAUGGAAUUGAAAUGUAAUUUCUUACAGUGUUUGGAACAACAUUCCUAAUCUAAUAUUAAUUUGAAUCAGAUUUAAACUUCAUUUGAUUCCUUUGGAUUUUGAACGCUGUAGCUACAGCAACUUUAUCGUUGUGUAUUGUAAGCUUUCUGAAUGUAAAACAUUAAAACCCCAUUUUUUAAAGCAGGGCAGAUAGGGUGUUUUGUUCUUGUAAGCUUAUGCGCUCUGACCUUGAAGAUUGAUUCUUCCUCCGGUUACUGGUCUCAGUUCAUCUUCGUAAUCAAAGACGCUCUUAAUUCAGCGGCUUCACCUCCGACAGCUAAUCUAUAACAGCUUAUCUGCUUUCAUACGGACACGUUCAGCCUCUAAUGUACAAUAUUGAUCAAGCUCAGCCUGGCUCAUAUUGAUUCACUAGAUACUAAACUUCCUUUUUAAGCAGCGUACGUGACAAGAAUUCACACGCAAAGCAGGUUUGGUCGACAUAUAGAAGACUUUCAAGUCUACUUUAUAAAAUGCAUUUCUAUGUGUAACAACAGAAUUGCAAGGCACAUGCCCAAAAUUGUGAGAUGAAAGUCACAAGCACUUUUUUAAAAUUCUUUGGUGAGAAAUAAAUUCACAAUCCUGACAUCUCACAAUUUUGCAUGUUUAUCUCACAAUUCUAAACUUUUUCUUGCAAUUCUAAGUUUCUAUCUUUUUUUUUUUUUUUUUUUACUAAUUUUAAGAUAUGAAUUCAGAACUGCAACAAAAAUAUCUAAAUCCUUAACUAGAUAUCUUUAAUAAAUAACUUUAUUCUGCAGCAGAAAAAAGCUUCAAUAGUAAAUGUCUAAAAACGUAGUACAGUUCACAACUUUACUGUUGCAUUAUAUUGCAUGAAAAUCCCAGUUUAUGUAAUUUAUAGUUCAUUCUUGAUACUGAAAAUUAAGGUGAAAAUGAGUGGAUUGGUUUAUGGGACAUUGUUGUUGUUUUUUUUCAUAUUCUGCACAUAUUGGCAGUUGUCUUCAUAUAUUUAUUUUGAUUUAGUGUGCAAUAACCCUAAAUCACAGACUCAAGUUAAUCUUGCAUUUUGUGUGUCUGUUGCAUGAAGCCGCACGUCUUCAUGAACCAAACAAUCACAUCUUCUGUUCAGUCUCUGUAACUCUCAUUAUCCAGCUGCAUUACAUGUCUAUCUCAGCGUUUUCUUUCUUUAAUCUGUUCCUGUUGGGCAAACAAAGGCAGUUUUGACUAAAUCUGGCCGCAUUUCAGAAAUGAUAAAGCUUUUUUCUCCUUUAAGCUCCAUCUGAUACUCUGAUAGACGUGUAAUUUUACAACCAUUUAUGAGCAUGAGCUGCAAAGGUCUGCAGAUGUUUAGGUAUAAAUGCUAAACGUACAAUGACA